ACAAGAAUUUUAAAAGCUUUACAGUGCAUUAAUAAUAUACAUUUUAUUAUAAUACACUUUUAUGUUGUUCAGCUGACAUUGAAGUCAACAUAAAAUCGAAACUGACCCUAUUUACUGAUUACAAGUUCCUGGUCUUUUUUUCUCAUUCGGUCUGUCUCUGCUGCGUUAUGUUACUAUUCAAAAUCCAUCAAUUCCCACAAUUUAUCAAUUCUCAGUAGAUAAAAUUAAUUCCUGUCCUACAUGGUUUUCUCUCUCUUUCUCUCUCUCUCUUUCAAUAUCCAGAAGUGAAUUGGGGCAAUUUAAACAUUGCCCCACCUAAUAUUAUGUUUUGUUUUGUUUGGCUUGCUUUGUUUUAUUUUAUUUAGUUUAUUUUGUUUUCUGUUUUUUUUUUUUUUGUCUUUUUUUUUGUCUUUUUGUUUUUACUUUGACUAAGCACAUUGCCCCACCCUAUGAUUUUGUUUUGUCUUUUGUUUGUUUUGUUUUGCUUUGCUUUGUUUUUUUUUUUUACUUUGACUAAGCACAUUGUCCCACCUAUUACUUAGUUUUGUCUUUUUUUGUUUGUUUUGUUUUGCUUUGUUUUUCUUUCUUUUCUUUUCUUUUCUUUUCUUUUCUUUUUCUUUCUUUCUUUCUUUCUUUCUUUCUUUUUUUUUUUAACAUUGACUAAGCACAUUGCCCCACCCUGUUAUUUUGUUUUUGUUUGCUGUGCUUUGUUUUUGUUUUUACUUUGAUUAAGCACAUUGUCCCCAGCCCCCCACCCUAUUAUUUUAUGUUUUGGUUUGUUUUUUGUUUAUUUGUAUAUGAAUGUUUAAGCACAAAAAUAGCAUAUGCACUAAAAGUGUGUGUUUGAAUGUAUGUGAAUAUGGUCCUCAUUCCUCAUGUGGAGUCACAGCAGGCUUCAUCUUCCAAAAUUCAGUUGCUCUGAUUUGAAGCUUUAAGAUGGAGAUUUCAUGAGCUUACAUCUGAAGUCUUUCCCUCACCCCAUGUGAUCGUGGUCAAACACUCCAAAAGGAAUAGCAAAUGUCUAGAAGCAGUGUACUUCCUUUUAACUGAAGGUGAGAACAGGACCUUUAAAACACCAAGUUUAGUUAAGGUUUCACAGUAGCAGAAUACACAGAUACACCGCUGAGUUUUGUCUUUCUUUGAUAUUUAUUGGAGCUGGUGAUCAAAACGUUUUAAUCAAUUUAAUUACAUAAUUUGCUAAUAAAUUGAUCAAAUUACUUCCAUAUGAUUGGGAUUAGGACAUGCCACUUCUGAGCAAACAUUACAAAUUAGGACAUUAUUUACAUAAUUUGUGAACAAACUGAACAAAAUGAAGCAGAUUCAGUUCAGAUUCGUUUACUGAUUCAUUUUCCUGACACCAUGUCUGACACUGUUGUCACGUUGCAUCGCGCUGCACCGCAACAGCUUAAAGCUGUCUACACUGGAUGCGACAAACCAACCAUUGCAAUGCACAUGGACUAUGUCAGAAAUAGAACGGGGAAUCCGUUUACUGUCGGGUAUUCGUUGUGUCGCGUCGCGCCGCAUCCUGUGUAGACAGUAUCAUGGAUUAUAUUGUCUUUUGAUGCAUUGGUUCACGCUGCUCACAUCUGGUGUAGACACGUUAGUUAGGUUUUUUGCUAAAGAGAAUCCUAUAGAUUGGAGUGACUGGGAUGACUCAAAAUUCCUGCUACUGGUAUUCAGAGUUUGCACCAGGUCCUUGAAGUACUUCAGGUGUGAUGCCACCCUCUUUUUCACCUAAUAAUACAGCAGGGAAUGGACGAAACAAGUGUCGAUAUGUUGCUCUGUCGUGUCACACCUGAAGGCAUUCUCGCACUUAAGAGACCGAAAUACCUACAGUAGCACACAGUAUGCUGUCAGAAGUAGAGAUGCACUGAUACUAAAUUUCUCUGCCCAUACCGAUAGCCAAUUAUUCAGAAUGAUAUUAGCCAAUGCCGAUACCGAUAGUUUGAUUUUUCUUAAGGAAAAAAAAAUCUCUCCCAAAUAAUGCUGCAAACUAUACAGGGAACCCUCUCAUUUGAUACACUAUAAUAUUAGAGGUUACAAUUGACCGUUCGAAAAUACCUGCCCUCUUUAGUUACUGUUGCUAUGUCCAUUAAGCCAUGCCAUUCUCACACCACACAUCAUUUUAUCAGUGAAAAAUAUACAGCGCGGAGCAAAGAGGACACUGAAAAUGCGUCGACAGACAAGACAGAGCAGGUUACUUUUAAUAUGAAACAAAGUCUCAAAUUUCAAAAUUUGUAAUUUUUAAAGAAAUUUAAACAAUAAAUACUGUUUUGUGGCUCUUUAAAAAGUCCUUGAAAGUCCUUGAAUCAGGUGUUCAUGAAAGAGUGGGAACCCUGACUUUAUUUACACUGCUUUCCACAAAGGACCUUGGACGUGCAGGCAUGAGAAUUGCCCGAUUGUCUAUGCGUCUGGUCUGUUUUAAUUACAGCGUGGAAUACAAACCUGGUCGAGACUGGCUAUCCAGACUUCCACUUCUAAGCAGCUGAUAACAGCCAAAACCAAGAGCCUCAGAUGGUGGCUGUACUGUCUCCUGACUUUGCAGCUUUUACUGUAGAGUAGCUGAAGUCUAUGUGUGAUGCCUGUACUAUCCUUCAACAGGUAAAGGCUUGCAUUGAAAAUGGGUAGCCUCGUAAUGCAAAAAGCUUGAAUUCUGCUAUUGCACCAUAUCAUCAUCUCUGGAAUGAGAUGGCUAUUCAAGAUGGGUAUGUCAUCAUCCAGUAGGCACAUGCCACUCAUAAAGGGAUAGUGUGCAUAAAGUAGAGACUGAGGGACUUAUUUUGGUGGCCUGGCUUGGAUUUUUAUGUGGAAAAUGUUAUCAAAUCCUGUUCCACCUGCCUCCAGCAUGAUAAAACUGCCUAUUCCAGCAACUGCUUGGGAGAAACUGGCUAUUGAUGUAGUUGGGCUUUUGAAUAAUGUUCCUCAAGGCUGUUGCUUUGACAUGCUAUGACACUCGUUGAUUACUACAGUAAAUGGCCAGAGAUUGCACCUGACGUUACUUCUUCAACUAUUGUAAAGUUUCUGUCUGCUGUGUUCAGCCUUAAGGGAAAUCAGCUUGAACUUGUAACCGACAACAGAUCAAAAUUCGUUUCAGCUGAGUUUGAGGCAUUCUUUGCAGACAGAGAUAUUAAACACUACCAUAGCUCCUUUUAUUAUCCACAAAGGAAUAACAUUUUUUUAGCUUUUUAUUUAGUAUAUCACCAACCUACCUCUAUCCCAUGACAGUUUUCCAGCAUCCCUCUACCACCCCAACUCCUCAUUCUUAAACAUUUCCUAUUCCAACCAGGGAUGAGGCGAGUACUCUGGGUUCAGGCCAAAUUCCUAGCCUGGAGCCCUCCCGUCAGACAGCAUGCCAAAUAUGUGUACUUUUCUAUAUCUGAUUAUAUGUAAGGGUGAACUUGUGAAACCAUUAUUACUGAUGCUGUCUACACCGGAUGCAGAAAAAUGUGAUGUUACACAACAAAUUCCUGACUGUUCUGAUUCUAUUUCUGACGUAGCGCUUGUGCCACUUCUGACAUGAAGAACAAAAACAUUUGCAACAGUUGCUUUGUCGUGUCCAGUGUAGACAGCCUAAAGCUGUGCUCACACUACCAGAGAAAUGCAGCAACAAAACGACAAUGAUCCCAUUCAUUUCACUGAAAAGCUAGCGAUUUCUGGCAACAGUGAUCGCUGGCAACAGGAUGAAGUCAUGUCCAGCGACAUGACAAAGUUGAGAUAUGUUUAACUUUAUGCAAAUGAAGAGUGACUUUUGGGAGCGACAACCAAUAGGAGUGGUCAGUGGAGCGCACAUGAUCCAUCACUGUAGUGCAGGGGCUCUCAAAGUGUCCCCAUAGCCAGGGGGUCUGCGAAAUAAAUUUAGGGCCCUAUGAUUUCCACAAUGCGGAAAAGGCAGGUGGAAUCACAGAAUCCAGUCAUAAAAACAGAAUUUACAGUAUAAUGCUGAAUGUCACAGAAUUUGGCAAAUUUUGGAUGAAUAUAUCAAAAGUAGGACUGUACACUUUACGUGAAGUUUUUGAUAUGCACACUAGUGUGAAUAUUAAAGCAAAAAAAAAAAAGACAAUUUAAAUAUGAAGUCGGCAUGUUUUCUGUGUCUUUGUGUGAAUGAGCACAGCAGGUGAGCAGUUUCAUCUAAUACACAUACUCAGACGAGAUAGCGUCUGUCGCCUCACUAUAUAUGGACACAUGAACUUAAUCUCCAGAUCUGGUCUGAGAGUCACUUGCAUUUCAACAUUUAAUUUGAUAAAACUAUCAUAUGCAUGCAGAACCUGCGCAGCUAAGGAAUAGAAGUACUAAAGAUUCUACGCUCAAAAGACCACAGCAGAGACAGUGAUAGUGUUGGAAGACUAUAGAGUCGCCCUCGGGGUGAGGCUGUAAUACUCGGAGUAAGUAUUAAUGAUCCUGUGUCGGACCAGAGUACACCUGAGUGUAUAGAUGCUAAAGACCUGUGUGCUCAUGUGUGAUUGAGGUAGUGAUAGUAGCUUCUUGACGAGACGAAGUACUGGAAAUGUAUUAGAAGUAUUCGAGAAGGGAAUUACCUCGAGAUACUGUAGUAUUAUAUUGUAUUAUAUUUGGGAUGGGAAUUACCUCGAAGGUACUGUUGUACUGUAUUGGUACUGUAGUACUGUAUUGUAUUAUAUUCGGGACGGGAAUUACCUCGAAGGUACUGUAGUACUGUAUUGGUACUGUAGCAUUGUAUUACAUUAUAUUGACAACUGGAGGUCGUUUGAAUUGUAAGUGGUGAAGUCAGAUUAGUAUUGGGAAUUUCCACGACAGGUCUCUGACCCCAAAACAUUUGAGAUCCUCUGCUGUAGUGGAGUGUUGGCAGCAUUAUGGAGGAAAAGCAAUUAUAGCAGUCAGCAAAUUUCCUAUAAUUUAUUAUAGGCCUAUGUCUCUGUGUACAUAUGGUGGUACUUGCCAUACUGACUCUGAGCUUGGAAGGUUUCGUGAACAUAGAUAGACCAGCACUUGCCUUGUGCUUUCGUUGCAGAUAAAUAGCCGCGAUGACAAAGAACACUCAGUUUUCCUCGUUCAUCUUUAAUAUUAAACAUUUUAUGUACUGAUUCCAUUAAUAUUUAGUCUUUUCCCUCAAAAAAAAAAUUGUUUUUAGCAAAAAGAAAGCUGAUUCGGUGUCUGCAACAUGGAAUUCCUGUUGAAAAACCAGAAUAUGCUGGUUAGGUAUGUUUUGAAGCAUGGAAUCUGGUUUGAGCUGGUUUAUGUUGGUCCUUAGCUGGUCCUAAGCAACUAGCUCCAGCUCAGGACCAGCACUUGACCAGCUUAAACCAGCUCAUGACCAGCAUAACAUACCUAACCAGCAUUUGCUGUUUUUUUUUUUUUUGUUUGUUUGUUUUCAACAGGGAUAACAUCAGUGAAUCUCAUUCAUAAAUGCAGCUAGUAGUUGUUGCAUGCUGGCUUGACGUGAUAAUCCAAACAGAGAGGCUUGACGCAGAAGAACAAUGAACUCACAUUUAAUAAAACUCACAUUGCAGUUUUAGAGUCUAAAUUAUUUUGUUAAAUAUAUAUUUUGUAUGAAAUAAAAAAAAGUUUAGUGCCGUACAUUUGCUUUACAGUAAACUUAAGCUAACUUAAGCUUUAACAGACCAAACUUAGGUCUGUUAAAGACCCCUGGUGUGAACAUUUAAUAAAACCUAUGAACAAAAAAACAAAAAAAACAAAACAAAACAAAAAAACACUUGCAAUGAGGAUAAACAAGUUUUGUGUUGACCACAAUGAGCUAGUGGUGUAUAGGCUGCAGAGAGCAAUAAACCACCAACAGUCAAGCAACACUUAGAAACCAAACACUAUGCAGAAAAUGUCAAACUAAAAAUUCAGUUUUUCUAUUUAGCUUUUUUCACGUUAGCAAUUUUGCAUGUUUGUGGAUCUAUGCACUUCAUUGUAAGAUAACACAUUUCAAAGUUUGAUUUUUGAUAAUUGUGUAUAAUAAACUAUUUUGGUUCUGUGUUGAGUUGCCACAAGAUGUCCAAUGUAAAAUCUGGGUUCUGAAGUAAGUACCAGAGAACAAUUGAUAUAACUAUGUGCCAUAUAACCAUAAAAGAAUAGUUCAUAGCACUGAAAGCUAAUUAAAUUGCAAAAUAACUACAAGAUGUGGUCAGUGCAAAUAUGACUUCAACUUCCUCUUGAUGCGGCUGAAAUUCCCCUCUUGAAAGUAAAGUUUCCUCUCAGUCACAGCAGAAAUCCAGACUGCAUCAUGUUGAAGUGUUUUAUCAUCAUGAAGAUCAUGCAGCUUCAUCUCUAUCUGCUGAUAUGGUGUGAAGCUGCAGAGACUUUAACAGAUCAACUAACAGAUUUAGGUGAAAAUGUGACUAUAAACUGUGAUCUUGAUGAAAAUGAGGUUUAUUGGUUAUUACUAAAACUUCCAGAUUCUCCAGUUCUGAUAUUACUCUCUACCACACCUUCAACUACUUUUCACUACAAUCUAACCUUUGAGCAAAAAUAUUUAGUGCAAAGUAAACACAAUCUCCUCAUAAAAAAUGUCACCAUUGAUGAGUUAGGAGUUUAUUACUGCGUGACCACCAAAGACAUACAACCAAAAUACAGCGACGGCACAAGACUGCACAUCAUUGUACCAACUUCAACUCCAGAGGUCCAGAAUCAUACAGCGGUGAAGUGCAUUGAGAAGAAUCAGACACAUUGGCUGGUUAUUAUCCUCAUAUCUGCUCUGUUGAUCGCUGUUCUGAUCAUUGUGAUCACGGGACUAGUAAAGUUGUUUGUUCUUGGAAGCAAGAGAACCAGAGACAACUUGAAACAGUCUCAAGAUACAAACUUACAACAGCCUCAAGUCAUGGAUCCUGAACAGCCACAAGACUUAACUCAUGUGCAGUACGCUACAGCAGACUUCUUCCACACCAUGUAAAAGGUUUCAGCCCAGACAAAUAAACAGCACAAAUGAACUUCUACAGCUGCCAGAAUCAAGAACACAUAAUCAAAUCUGACACCAUUUAGUUUCUGUUCUCACUGUAUUUGAAAAAGUAUCACGUAUUGCAUAACUAUAUAUAGAUCUAUUUAAUCUGCAUAUUUAGCUCGCUAGUUAUUUUUUACCCCAAGGGUUAUGCAGAAUAAGAAUAUUAAAGUGAAUUGUAAGUUAUGGUCAAUACUUGCUUAUCUUGGAUGUAAUAUAGUUAAUAUCUGUAAUUACUUGUCACUUUAACUCUCAAUGUUGUGAUUUCAUUGUUUUUAAGUGUGUACUCUUACAUUGCUAGAAAUAUGUUGUAAUGUUGAUAAAUUUCUAUUUGAUUUGUGAUAAACAAUAGCAUUGAGUUUGCAGGCAGAUGUUGAAUGUGAAUUAUAUAGACCGGAAGUCAAACAACAGAACAACCUCAAAAUGUACAGUUUGGUUUAGAAAUGUUUUGCUUGAUAUUCUUAUUUGUGAUAACUUGCUAAUUGAUGGUCAUUCAGUAUUCAGAUAUCUUUGUUUAAAGAGUGAUAAACAUUAAACUGAUUUCCAGUGCUA